CAGUCGCCACGGGAAUACAGAGGGUGCGAGCGUUAAUCGGAUUUACUGGGCGUAAAGCGUGCGUAGGCGGCUUCUUAAGUCGGAUGUGAAAUCCCUGAGCUUAACUUAGGAAUUGCAUUCGAUACUGGGAAGCUAGAGUAUGGGAGAGGAUGGUAGAAUUCCAGGUGUAGCGGUGAAAUGCGUAGAGAUCUGGAGGAAUACCGAUGGCGAAGGCAGCCAUCUGGCCUAAUACUGACGCUGAGGUACGAAAGCAUGGGGAGCAAACAGGAUUAGAUACCCCAGUAGUCCCUGUCUCUUAACA
rnacentral:rRNA from 1 species